rnacentral:rRNA from 1 species
UAGGGUUCGAUUCUGGCUCAGAACGAACGCUGGCGGCAGGCCUAACACAUGCAAGUCGAACGAAGGCCCGGAGCUUGCUCCGGUCACCUUAGUGGCGGACGGGUGAGUAACACGUGGGAAUUUGCCCAGGAGUGAGGAAUAACGUUUGGAAACGAACGCUAAUACCGCAUACACCCUACGGGGGAAAGGCUUCGGCCGCUCUUGGAUAAGCCCGCGUCAGAUUAGCUUGUUGGUGAGGUAACGGCUCACCAAGGCGACGAUCUGUAGCUGGUCUGAGAGGAUGAUCAGCCACACUGGGACUGAGACACGGCCCAGACUCCUACGGGAGGCAGCAGUGGGGAAUAUUGGACAAUGGGGGAAACCCUGAUCCAGCCAUGCCGCGUGAGUGAAGAAGGCCCUAGGGUUGUAAAACUCUUUCAGUCGUGACGAUGAUGACGGUAGCGACAGAAGAAGCCCCGGCUAACUCCGUGCCAGCCGCCGCGGUAAUACA